rnacentral:rRNA from 1 species
UACGUAGGGGGCUAGCGUUGUCCGGAAUCAUUGGGCGUAAAGAGCGUGUAGGCGGCCCGGUAAGUCCGCUGUGAAAGUCGGGGGCUCAACCCUCGAAAGCCGGUGGAUACUGUCGGGCUAGAGUGCGGAAGAGGCGAGUGGAAUUUCCGGUGUAGCGGUGAAAUGCGUAGAUAUCGGAAGGAACACCAGUGGCGAAAGCGGCUUCCUGGUCCAGCACCGACGUUCAGGCACGAAAGCGUGGGGAGCAAACAGG